AAACACACCAAUGAGAUGAUUCGGCUCUGUUCUUGCCCUGAGUAUUUUCCUACCAGCCAGCAACCUCCUCCCCCAAACUCUGCCCCUCAACCGCUCCCAUCUCGUGACAGCGCCAUCCCGAAGCAUUUACAGAGCACAGAAGGUGAAGUUAGGUCAAUGUUAUUCAGCUAUAUCGCAGCUACAACACAGAGAUACCGGGUACAUUUCUAGAGGCACCUUCAUGGGUAUAACAUUCUCACCUUCUCUAAACUGAAGCAACCAGACACGAAUAUGCAAAUUGUUAUUGGUUUCGGAAUUAGCUCUGUUUCGUCGAAGAAUCUUUCAGUCCAGGCAUGACUCUACCUUGGCUCUCAGCUGUGAUAAUCGUGUCUGUUCUAAAGGGCACCUAUGGAGCAGACUCGGUGACCCAACCUGCAGGCAGCGUUACCAUCUCCCAAGGGGACCCGGUGCGUCUGAACUGUACCUAUCAAUUUUCUGUCGCUGCUAACGUCGAUCCCUUCUGGUACGUGCAGUCCCCCAGCCAGCCCCCCAGGCUCUUCCUCAGGGACCUGGGAAGGGAGGACUCGGAUGAAGGGAUCAGAAAAGGGUUCGAUGCCACCCACGAUAAAAAGCUCAAAUCCUUCCACCUGUGGAAACCGUCCAGCGACUCGAGCGACUCCGCGACCUAUUACUGCGCCGUGAGAGACACAGUGACACGGAGCAGCGGGGGAGCUGAGCAAAAACCGCGCAGGCUCUCUGUGUUUUGCUGCUUUGCCCUAACCCGGAGCGUUGCCAUCUCAGAAAUGGCGGUGAAUGUCAUGAAUCCCUAA